AUUUAUUAUUAUUAGUUUGAAAUUGUCUGAAAUUGUAAAUACCCAAAAAAUUCAAAAUUCUGUGAGUUCCAUUUCCUUGGCUCUUGAUAAUUGAAUCGAAUUGGUAUAGCACAUAGCUGUGCAUGGAAGUUUAAUCAAAAUACAAUUCCAAAUCAAAUUGAUAUACAAAUAAAAUUAUGCUUAUGGCUAAUGGCUGAGCUUAAAUAUGCCCACCUCAAACUAAA